UUUUCUAUAGUGUAAAUAUAAAUAACACAUAAUCUUUUCAAGAUUAAAUUACAUAUAUUGUUAGAAAUA
rnacentral:tRNA from 1 species